AUACUUACCUGGCAGGGGAGAUACCAUGAUCACGGAGGUGGUUUUCCCAGGGCGAGGCUUAUCCAUUGCACUCCAGAUGUGCUGACCCCUGCGAUUUCCCCAAACGUGGGAAACUCGACUGCAUAAUUUGUGGUAGUGGGGGACUGCGUUCGCGCUUUCCCCUG
rnacentral:snRNA from 2 species